CCCUCCCCGGCUGCUGAGCGCGCUGUUCCGCAGCACUCUGUUCUGAGCGGCACGCUGGAGGGCUGAAGUACUGCAGACUCUCCUGAUGAGGGCAACAGCUGAUGGGGUGCCAGGAAAGAGUGCAGGAUCACACUCGGUCGACAGGAGGCGCUCAUGAGAGAUUGGGAAUCACCAGUGCAAGACAUCCUUGGGGCAAUGGAACAUAUGGCUCUUCUGGGGUGGCUCCAGCCCUGGAUAGCCCUGAACUUAGUAGUGGGUUCAGCUUAUGUGGAGAGUGCAAAAACCCUGGUUCUGCCCCACCAGAUCCAAACCUGGCACCUUUGAUCUACCUGGAGAUUUCACCCUGGAAGAGGGUUUCCAUUCCCAACCAGCCUUUGGGGAAGAAAAUGUUCACACACAAAGCAGCGUGGCUGACCAAGGAGGGUAUGAUCUCCCUGGGCUGGGUCAGAAUGAAUCCUAGAAUAUUAGGGUUGGAAGGGACCUCAGGAGGUCAUCUAGUCCAACCCCCUGCUCCAAGCAGGACCAAUGGUACCAAGCCCAGUCUUCUCUCCUGAAAUAUAUCGCAUACCAACAAGUACAUUAAAGGUAUUAAAGUUGCACAAUAAAGCACUCAGAUGUUAAGAAAUGUGAGAAUUAGGGUUGCCUGGGCAAUUUUAAUUAAACUUUCUUGUGUGUAGCUGUUACAGUCUUUAAUGACAUGAUCACACACACCUUUUUUUGUACAGGAGCCUGCCUUAUUCAAUGUAUAGGAUUGACAAUGCUUGCUGAGUGGGUAGCUAUUCUGUAUUUCUUUUUAUCUCUAUCAUUCAGUGUGUUGCCCUGAACUGUAUGUCCUGCACACCCUCCAAACUCUUCUCUGAAUACAGAAUCGUUUCCCCUAUAGUGUUUAUCACUGUGACAUGUGAGUGCUUCACAAGCCUGAAUUAGCUUCUCCUCACAGCUCACCAGCAAUGCAUGAGAAUAUUAUUGUCUCCGUUUUACAGCUGGGGGGAGACACAAAUAGACUGGCCUGCUGCUACACAUUGAGUUGGUGGCAGAUUAGAAAUUGGGACCUCCUGCUUCCCAACUCUGUACUUAUUCCAUUGUAGCACACUGCUGGAGGGGCUGAGCCGUUAUGGUCCCCAUAGAAUUCAGCUGUGAGCACUCAGCACUUCUGCAAACCAGGCCCCAGCUGUCUCUCACUGUGCACCCAGAAAAUGGGAAUCUCACAGUUUGUGGCCACCUGCCAGAAUUUUGGUUUAGAUGGCCUCCAGUUGUCUCAGAGACUGGCAGAGACAGCUCCGGACUGAGCAAGUUACCUGCUAUGUAAGUUUUAAUAUGUCAGGAACAUGCCUUUUUAUAAGCAAAACAACCUCUUGGCUUGAUUUUAAUAAUGCUGUUUCCAUUAUUAUAAUAAUUAUAAUCCACAACACUACCCCCUCUUCUGCUCGGCCCAGACAUCCUAAUCCCUUUCUCUGGUGUCUAUUAGUUUGGUCUGGGACGGGAAGGGCUAGAUGCACUCUGCGCUCUAUUAGUUGAUGGGCUGGCACAUGUGGCCUGUGCAGCUAGCCCUGCCCCAGGCAGAAGCAGGCAUGUGCGUGCAUGCUGGCCAUUUGGGCUCCUGCUCUGCAGCAGGUGGAGAAGAGGGAUGUUGAUGGGCUUCAAGCUGGUGCUGGGCAUCUCUGUGCUGCUGUUGGCAGAGGCCAUGGCUGCCACGCACGUCCAGCAGAGAUGCAUUGGGAAAGUGAGUGUCACAUCUCCCACCCUGCGGAGGGGUCUGGGAAAGGAGGAUGCCCCACCCUGGCACCAAUUGUAUCAGUUCCUUUAUGUUACUGUCCAAAGUAAUAUAAGGGACCUUAUCUUGGGUGUCUAUUCAGUUAGCAUUGAUUAGCUAAUUACAUACAGAAUUUUCCCAGUUAGCCAAAUAGUAGGGACAUGGAUUUUAUUGGGAGUUUGGGUAAUUGAGAGGCAGCAGCGCAGGGAGCUCUCUGCAUCUUGGCUGUCAUGGCUCCACACACUGCCGGGGGCUCCCUGUGCUGCUGUGGGAGCCAUUCAGCAGCAGGGGGGCAUCCCUGGUGGCUGGGGGCUCUGCCUAUUACCUGAACUCUGCAUCCAAAUCCUUUCAUUGGCCUGCCAAGGGAUGUGGAUGAUGCCGAGGAGUGAGACUAGAACUGCUGAGCCCUGGCUGUCAUUAGCUGUAUUAGGGUGGACUAGAGGCCCCAGUCAGGCUUGGGGCCCCAUUGUACAAGGCGCUGUAUGAGAACCAGUAGCAAGGAGCUUCCAUUCCAUGGGGUGAGACAGGCAGGCACCAGGUGCUCCAUGGGACACUGGACAGACUGCAGGCACUUGUCUCCCACCCCUCAGGAGCCACAGAGAUUUUGGGGGAGGGGUGGAAGAAGAGGGAGCAACCCUGACUCUUACUCCAUGUGCUUUGGAUCCCCCUGUCAGCACCAAGCUGCCAAGUACCCACUCCUCCAUGCCUUGCUUUAAUAUGCAUCUCGUCCUUCAAACCCUAAUCUUCCCACCAUUCGUCUGACUUCCCUCCCAACACAUAUUUA